GACGAACGCUGGCGGCGUGCUUAACACAUGCAAGUCGAACGAAGAGCGAUGGAAGCUUGCUUCUAUCAAUCUUAGUGGCGAACGGGUGAGUAACGCGUAAUCAACCUGCCCUUCAGAGGGGGACAACAGUUGGAAACGACUGCUAAUACCGCAUACGAUCUAACCUCGGCAUCGAGGAAAGAUGAAAGGUGGCCUCUAUGUAUAAGCUAUCACUGAAGGAGGGGAUUGCGUCUGAUUAGCUAGUUGGAGGGGUAACGGCCCACCAAGGCGAUGAUCAGUAGCCGGUCUGAGAGGAUGAACGGCCACAUUGGGACUGAGACACGGCCCAGACCCCUACGGGAGGCAGCAGUGGGGAAUCUUCCGCAAUGGACGAAAGUCUGACGGAGCAACGCCGCGUGAGUGAUGACGGCCUUCGGGUUGUAAAGCUCUGUUAAUCGGGACGAAAGGCCUUCUUGCGAAUAGUGAGAAGGAUUGACGGUACCGGAAUAGAAAGCCACGGCUAACUACGUG
rnacentral:rRNA from 1 species